CUGCUUGUGACACGGCUCCUCUUCAAGCUGAGAACAAAGAUCUGCUGGAGUCUCUCCUCAACUGCAGGGGAGCCACCAAGGGGAGCUCUGGGGCAGCAGUACAAUGAGGCCUCCCUGCAUGCCCUGCUCUACUCCUGGCCCACCCCGCUCCUCCAGGCCCUCAGGCCCCUCGCCCAACACAGUGACCCCAGGGUGAGGAUUGCUGGGUACAUGAUCUCCAGGCUUCCCCUGCCUGGAUCCCCCGCCCCUAGAUCUCCUCGUAGGUGCCAGACCAGGAUGAGGCAUGCCUCCC
rnacentral:lncRNA from 1 species